GACGAACGCUGGCGGCGUGCUUAACACAUGCAAGUCGAACGGAAAGGCCCUGCUUUUGUGGGGUGCUCGAGUGGCGAACGGGUGAGUAACACGUGAGUAACCUGCCCUUGACUUUGGGAUAACUUAAGGAAACUGGGGCUAAUACCGGAUAGGAGCUCCUGCUGCAUGGUGGGGGUUGGAAAGUUUCGGCGGUUGGGGAUGGACUCGCGGCUUACGAGCUUGUUGGUGGGGGAGUGGCUGACCAAGGCUUUGACGGGUAGCCGGCCUGAGAGGGUGGCCGGCCACAUUGGGACUGCGAUACGGCGCAGACGCCUACGGUAGGCAGCAGUGGGGAAUAUUGCACAAUGGGCGGAAGCCUGAUGCAGCAACGCCGCGUGCGGGAUGACGGCCUUCGGGGUGUAAACCGCUUUCGCCUGUGACGAAGCGUGAGUGACGGUAAUGGGUAAAGAAGCACCGGCUAACUACGUG
rnacentral:rRNA from 1 species